AAUGAAGAAUGGACAGCCAUGUAGAACUACGACUGGGGGAAACAGGGAUAAUCUGAUGGAAAUAGACUGAGUCGGGAAACCUACCAAGCCUUGUCAGCUCAGCUUCUUCUUGGCCUCUCUGUGCAGCAUUUCUUUCUCCCAGGGCUUGCCAUAGGACGCCCUGCUGAAGCUGGCACGCUCAUGGGAGCUAUCCUUAAAUGCCACUCAGAACACUCUCACAGCCUACAGCCUGCAGAAGAAGAGUGUCACCUGGUCCAGUUGCUGAGUGACCGCUGAUCAACAGCUGACUUCACCUUGCAUCCUGACUCCUGGGAGCUCUUCCUCUCCCAUCUCUCUUCCCCUCUUUCUCUGUAGGCACAGCCAUCAGGAUCAGCUGAACCACUGGGGAUGGCUGUCUUUGGAGAGGAGCUAUGUGGCCUUGAGAAGAGUUGGGUAGAUGGACGGCCUCUCCUUGGAAAUCCGCUCUCUGAAAGGACAAAGCCUAGGAGACUGCUCCUCAGGGUGCAGAGCACAGGCUUGCCUGUUUAUUAGGGUGUGGACUUGGAGUCAGGACAGGAGUUUUAUGAACAGGAGAAGGAAUUUUGUUGAGUUUGUGGCCUUGUGCUGAUUCUUUUUGGGAUGUUGAGUAGCACGAAUAGAGAAAUCUUUGAUGAGAAGAAAAAAACAGUUUUAGUGAAGUAAAUAAAUGUAGCUUCAUUUUCAUUCGUAAAUAUAUUUCUUCUAUUUGUUGUUACUCCACUUGUAAGAUGCACACACAUAACCACAGAUUCAGAGAUUUUUGUCUAUCCAUUGAUGGCGAUCUGUGUUACUUUCUGUCAAGGAGGCAUAGUAACUUGGUGUCAGUAUGGUGGGGCUCUGGCUGCCACAGACAGUAUAGGUAGUGGCCUUCUGUUAGCUGAAAAUUAAUUACUAAAUUGGCAGCAUGUGCCCCUCAUUCUGUGAUACACACACACACACACAUACACACAGAGAGAGACACACACACAGUACCCCUUAUGUUUGCUUAACUUCCAAGAGUCUUUUGGACAUAUAAAAUUUGCCUGAGUCAAAAGUUUAAAAUAUGCAUUGGUUCUGUGCCUAUUAAAAGCAAAGUUUAAAAUAAAGCCCGAAAUAAUGGAUGAAAUCCAUUCAGGCAGCUUGGUGGUUUAAAGCAAGACUGAACUUUCUACUUUUUGAAAAGUGUGUUUCCAGGAAUAAAGCUGAGUGGGCAAAGCAAGACCUAAUUUUCCCCACUGAAUAGGAAAUAAAAUGACACAUAUUGAAUGCUGUCUCAAAGGUGCUUAUACUGGUUGGGAAAAGAUGGCCUUGAGACCCAGGCUAUUCAUGUUAAGAUUGAAGAUGAGGUGAAAAUGCGAAUUAAAUAAUGCCAUGGCAAAGUUGGCUGAAAAUGAGUAAGCAGGACUUUGUGAAUGCUUCAUAUUCCUAAUAAAGCAUCUCUUCCUUACUCAAACAUCUUUUCCUCCCUCUUUUGACCUUCAGCAGGCUAUAAAGAACAAUGCCCUUCAUUUGUGAUUAUCUAAUCUCUAGAAACAUGUCCUGCCCUCAUAUAUUGCUGGUGGGAAUGUAAAAUGAUGCAGCUGCUGGGGAAAGCAGUUUGGUGGGUUCUCAAAAAGGGAAACACAAAGUUAUAUGUGUUUAUGACCCAGAAUUUUCCACUCCUAGGUAUAUACUCGGGAUAACUGAGACAUAUGUUCAUACAAAAACUUGUGCACAAACAUUUGUAGCAACAUUAUUUAUAACAGGCAAAAAGUGGAUACAGUCCAAAUCUCUGUCACCUGAGGAAUGGAUAAAUAAAAUGUGAUAGAGCUGUACCGUGAAAUACUAUUCAGUCAUAAAAAGAAUAAAGUACCGAUAGUAAGAGUUGAAGAAGGAAGAGAGAAACAUGAAAAGCGGCUUCACGGUAAAAGACAGGUUUAUUUUGGGAAAUAAACCUGAGAGGGGCUUCUGGCUGAGUUAGGUCAGGGGCACUCUCUCUUACAGACUAAGAGUAUUUAAGGGUUUAGGGCAGGAGAGCUUAUCACAAGCUCAGAAUAUUUCUGUUUCUUCGUCUUGCUUAUUUGGGAGGGAGAUUUUGUGUUUGUUUCCAUACUUUUUUUUUUUUUUUGCAGCUGCAGGCAUACCCAUGUCUGCUUUUAGCUUCCCUAUCUUAGUGCACCUAAAGGGAAAGGGAUGUGCUUAUUAGGGCCCACUGUUUUACUGGGGCCCAUUGUAUGAGUGUGAAGUUUGGCAGUUACCCAAGAGACUUUGCCCCUACCUUCUGCCCCUGACCUGUCUUAUCUGUGUUUUACUGUCUGCUCUUUCUGGCUGCUUGUUGUUAGAAGAGAAGUGAUUUCCUUGAAAUGACUGAGAUUAGAAAGGGAGCCAGAACUUGAAAUGGCAAUGUUUGUCCAAGAUGAUGGUGCUCCUGCUCUGUCACUGAUACCUGCUACUACUUGGAUGAACCUCGAAAACGUUGUGCUAAGUGAAAGAAGCCAGAAUCAAUGGGCCACAUUUCGUUCGAUUCCAUGUAUAUGAAAUGUGCAGAAUAGGCAAAUUAUAGCCCCCCAAAAUUCAUAUGUUGACAUCCCAACCCUUAGUACCUCAGAAUGUGACUGUCUUUGAAUAUGGGGCCUUUAAGGAGGUAAUUAAGGCAAAAAAGAGGUCCUCUGGGUGGGCCCUCACCCAGUAAGACUGGUGUCCUUCUAAGAAGAGAGAGAUUAGGACACAGUUACACACAGAGGAAAGGCCAUGUGAAGACAGAGGGAGAAGACAGCCUUUUGCAGGUCAAGGUGAUCAGGAUAAACAGCCCAUAAUAGGUCUGGUAAGGUCUGAACAGGGGUCAGAUUGUAUAGUGUGUUAUCAGCUAGGGUAAGGAGUUUUACUGUAAUUCAGAGCCACUGGAAGGUCUUAAGCAGGGUUCUACAGAUCUGAUUAAUAUCUGGGAGUUAGGGUUUCCCUGGAGAUUCUAACAAGGACUAAAGCAUCCCUGACCUUAGACCCAGAGGUAAUCUCUAUCAACCUGGGUCCUGAAUUAAACUUUCUUCAUCCUGUUGAUUGUCCUUGGUUUUCAGCAGAGUUUGCACAAAGAGAAAUCAACACAUCCAGGAUAGCAUGCCUCAGUACUCCAAACAGAUUCUGAGAAGCAUAAGGGUCAACCAUAAAUGUACAUUUUUGCAAACCCUGUAAUCUAUUUAUGCUACAAAAAAAUCUCCUAAACAGAGGAACUGAAUCAACUGCAAAUAGCUAUUGUUGAUUUUCUACGAGGACAUUGGCAAUCAUGAUGGCUCUGUGAGCCACAGGAUUGUUGUAAAGAGAGAUUUCUGGAUGGUGAUUUUCUGUACUAAUCAGUGGAUUUUUGUUUUCUCAUCAGGGCCAAGAUAUCCAACCAUAAACAAAGGAGAAAUUUUGACUUGAGAAAUAUCUACUUUGUUAAUAAGCAAAACUGAAAAUGGAAAAAAGUAAUUUUGUUUUGUAAACACAGGCUUACUGUUCAUUGAGUGCAAAGUAUAACUCUUGCAAAAUGUUAGGGGUACUUGGACCCCAUGGUGCUAGAGUUUAAAAUGGUUUUGGAGGAAUUGAAACAUCAGUUCUGUUUAUUGCACAAAUGUAGCAAACAUGAAAGCCAAAUCGUACAAAUUAUUUUAAACAACUGAAUGCCACUUACCAGCUGUGAGCUACCUGCUUCAACAAAACUCUUUCAAGCCUAAAUAAAGGGAAAAAAUUUCUCUCUUCUCUCCAUGUAUUUAAAGAUAGCAUCCGAAUUAACAUCUGAGUCAUAAAUAGUCCAUGAAACAGAUGACUCCUCAUCCUAUGACUAGAUGUUUUUUUUUACCAGAUAAAAUUCUAAGUGAAUCUCUUUUCUCUUUUGCACUUUUAAAAGCUAUUUCCCUUCUCUGGUUUGGUCUUCUGGUUAAUGUGCUGAGGCAGGCUCUUGGCAGCCAGAUGGAGUAUCAUCUAUAUUUAGGGCUUCCAUUAGCUUUUGUGUGUGAAUCUGCUGCCAUUUCCUAAUUUCAACACAAAUAUUCUAUGAGAGUGGAUUGCCAUUUAUGUUAUUGCUGUAUAAUAAAGUCAUCAUGCUAAUAUGC